rnacentral:SRP_RNA from 1 species
GCCAGGCAUGGUGGCAUGGGCCUGUAGUCCCAACUACUUGGGAGGCUGAUACAGGAGGAUCACUUGAGCCCAGGAGGUCAAGACUGCUGUGAGCUAUGAUCAUGCCACUACAGUCUAGCCUGGGUGACAGAGUGAGACCCUGUCUCGA